CCUUUACCCUGAGGUCAUAGCUCAUCCUUUACCCUGAGGUCAUAGUUCAUCCUUUACCCUGAGGUCAUGGUUUAUCCUUUACCCUGAGGUCAUAGCUCAUCCUUUACCCUGAGGUCAUGGUUUAUCCUUUACCCUGAGGUCAUAGUUUAUCCUUUACCCUGAGGUCAUGGUUUAUCCUUUACCCUGAGGUCAAAGUUCAUCCUUUACCCUGAGGUCAUGGUUUAUCCUUUACCCUGAGGUCAUAGUUUAUCCUUUACCCUGAGGUCAUGGUUUAUCCUUUACCCUGAGGUCAAAGUUCAUCCUUUACCCUGAGGUCAUAGCUCAUCAUUUACCCUGAGGUCAUAGCUCAUCCUUUACCCUGAGGUCAUAGCUCAUCCUUUACCCUGAGGUCAUAGCUCAUCCUUUACCCUGAGGUCAUAGCUCAUCCUUUACCCUGAGGUCAUAGCUCAUCCUUUACCCUGAGGUCAUAGCUCAUCCUUUACCCUGAGGUCAUAGCUCAUCCUUUACCCUGAGGUCAUAGCUCAUCCUUUACCCUGAGGUCAUAGCUCAUCCUUUACCCUGAGGUCAUAGCUCAUCAUUUACCCUGAGGUCAUAGUUCAUCAUUUAUUCUGAGGUCAUGGUCCAUCCUUUACCAUGAGGUCAUAGCUCAUCCUUUACCCUGAGGUCAUAGCUCAUCCUUUACCCUGAGGUCAUAGCUCAUCCUUUACCCUGAGGUCAUAGCUCAUCCUUUACCCUGAGGUCAUAGCUCAUCCUUUACCCUGAGGUCAUAUCUCAUCCUUUACCCUGAGGUCAUAGCUCAUCCUUUACCCUGAGGUCAUAGCUCAUCCUUUACCCUGGGGUCAUAGCUCAUCCUUUACCCUGAGGUCAUAGCUCAUCCUUUACCCUGAGGUCAUGGUCCAUUCUGUACCCUGAGGUCAUAGCUCAUCCUUUACCCUGAGGUCAUGGUCCAUUCUGUACCCUGAGGUCAUAGUUCAUCCUUUACCCUGAAGUCAUAGCUCAUCCUUUACCCUGAGGUCAUAGCUCAUCCUUUACCCUGAGGUCAUAGCUCAUCCUUUACCCUGAGGUCAUGGUCCAUUCUGUACCCUGAGGUCAUAGCUCAUCCUUUACCCUGAGGUCAUAGCUCAUCCUUUACCCUGAGGUCAUAGCUCAUCCUUUACCCUGAGGUCAUGGUCCAUUCUGUACCCUGAAGUCAUAGCUCAUCCUUUACCCUGAGGUCAUAGCUCAUCCUUUACCCUGAGGUCAUAGUUCAUCCUUUACCCUGAAGUCAUAGCUCAUCCUUUACCCUGAGGUCAUGAUUCAUCCUUUACUAUGAGGUCAUAGCUCAUCCUUUACCCUGAGGUCAUAGCUCAUCCUUUACCCUGAGGUCAUAGCUCAUCCUUUACCCUGAGGUCAUGGUCCAUUCUGUACCCUGAGGUCAUAGUUCAUCCUUUACCCUGAGGUCAUGAUUCAUCCUUUACCAUGAGGUCAUAGCUCAUCCUUUACCCUGAGGUCAUGGUCCAUUCUGUACCCUGAAGUCAUAGCUCAUCCUUUACCCUGAGGUCAUAGCUCAUCCUUUACCCUGAGGUCAUAGUUCAUCCUUUACCCUGAAGUCAUAGCUCAUCCUUUACCCUGAGGUCAUAGUUCAUCCUUUACCCUGAGGUCAUAGCUCAUCCUUUACCCUGGGCUCAGGUUGGAAGUAGUGCACUACAGAGGGAAUAGGGUGCCAUUCUGGUCAACAGUAGUGCACUACAGAGGGAAUAGGGUGCCAUUCUGGUCAACAGUAGUGCACUACAGAGGGAACAGGGUGCCAUUCUAGUCAACAGUAGUGCACUACAGAGCGUAGGGUGUAACUUGGGACGCUACCGGGGUCUUCCACCACUUCUGUUGUUUUGUAUAUCUGUAUUUGGCACUUUAUCAGACGGGCCCACCCUGCUGCAUAUCUGCAUUAAAUAUUUAAC